ACCGCAGCCAGGGAUCCUUCGGGCUCCAGCGCUCUUGGCAGAGGCCGGAGAUUUUAUUACUAUUGGAGUCUCAGUGGAGAUUUUACUUGACAUCAAUUUUUAGGGAAGUGGGCCCAGAUCCAUCCCCUGCCAGUAACAACAGCUCAUGAGAACUCAGCAGUUGUGUCCAGCAGC